GACGAACGCUGGCGGCGUGCUUAACACAUGCAAGUCGAACGGAAAGGCCCUGCUUUUGUGGGGUGCCCGAGUGGCGAACGGGCGAGUAAGAAGUGCGUAACCUGCCCUUGCCUUUGGGAUAAACUCCAGAAACUGGGGCUAAUACCGGCCAGGUGCGACUGAUGCAUGGCGGGGGUUGGAAAGUUUCGGCGGCUGGGGCUGGAGGCGGGGCUUAUAAGCUUGUUGGUGGGGUAGUGGCGUAAGUAGGCUUUGACGGGUAGCCGGCCUGGGAGGGUGACCGGGCACAUUGGGAUUGGGGUAGGACCCGGACUGCUACGGGAGGAAGCAGUGGGGGAUAGUGCACAAUGGGCGGAGGCCUGAUGCAGCAACGCCGCGUGCGGGAUGACGGCCUUCGGGUUGUAAACCGCUUUCGCCUAUUACGAAGCGGGAGUGACGGUAAUGGGUAAAGAAGCACCGGCUAACUACGUG
rnacentral:rRNA from 1 species